rnacentral:rRNA from 1 species
UUAAAUUAAAUUUACUAUGAAUUUUUAUUAAUGGGUUUAUUUAAUGAAAUUAUUUUUAAAGGUGUUUGUUUGAGUAUAGAAUAUAGAAAAAAUUAUAGGUGUGGUAGAUUAAUUGUAUUGUGAAAGGUUAUUUGAAAUAGUUUGAAAAUUUAUUAUUGUUAAAGUAGAUUUAAAGUUGUACCUUGUGUAUCAGGGUUUAUUAAAAAAAUAUCAAUUAUUUGAAUUUUCCCGAUUUGAAGAGAGCUAAGUAAUUAUGAUAGUUAAUGUGGAAUAAUUAUUGUUAAUAAUUACUUAGUAAUGAAAUGUUAUUCGUUCUUUAAGAUAUCUGGUUUUUCGAGAAAUGAAUUUAAUUCAGGUUUUAUUUAGUAAUUUUUAUUUAUUUUAAUUUAUUAUUGUUUAAAACUAAUGUUUUGGGGGAUAAGCUCCAAAAUAGGUUUUAUAAUUUUGUUUAAUUAUAUAAAUUUAGUAGGCUUAGAAGCAGUCAUUUAUAAAAGGGUGUUAUAACUUGAUUUAUUUACAAUUAAAUUUUAAUUGAAUUUAAGUUUUAUAUCGAAAUUAUUUAAAUAACUUUUGGUUGAAUGUAAUAAUGAUAAAAUUAGUAUAUAAAUUGUUUCCAUUUUAUUAAUAUGUGAGGUCACAUUAAGGAAUUAGGCAAAUAAGUGUUCGCCUGUUUAACAAAAACAUGUCUUUUUGAUAAUAAUUUAAAGUCUGACCUGCCCACUGAAUUUAUAUUUGAAGGGCCGCGGUAUUUUGACCGUGCAAAGGUAGCAUAAUCAUUAGUCUUUUAAUUGAAGGCUAGAAUGAAUGGUUGGACGAGAUACUGACUGUCUCAGUGUGAUUGAUAGUAGAAUUUAACUUUUAAGUUAAAAGGCUUAAAUAAUUUUAGAGGACGAGAAGACCCUAUAGAGCUUUAUAUUUGAAUUUUAUUAUUUGUUUAGAUAAUUUUUUAUAAUAUUACAUAAAAUAUUUUGUUGGGGUGACAAGAAGAUAAAUUAAACUCUUUUUAGUUUAUUAUCAUUGGUUUAUGAAUUAUUGAUCCAUUAUUAUUGAUUAUAAGACUAAGUUACCUUAGGGAUAACAGCGUAAUCUUUUUUAAGAGUUCAUAUCGACAAAAAGGGUUGCGACCUCGAUGUUGGAUUAAGGGUAAUUUUGGGGGUAGAAGUUCAAAGUUUAGGUCUGUUCGACCUUUAAAUCCUUACAUGAUCUGAGUUCAGACCGGUGUAAGCCAGGUCGGUUUCUAUCCUUAAUUGAAUUAUGAUACUUUAGUACGAAAGGACCAAGUAUUGGGGAAAUUUUUUCUUUUUUAUUGAUUAUUAUUAAUUGGUU